GAAAUGCGAUAAGUAGUGUGAAUUGCAGAAUUCAGUGAAUCAUCGAAUCUUUGAACGCACAUUGCGCCCCUUGGUAUUCCAUGGGGCAUGCCUGUUCGAGCGUCAUUUGUACCUUCAAGCUCUGCUUGGUGUUGGGUGUUUUGUCUCGCCUCCGCGCGCAGACUCGCCUUAAAACAAUUGGCAGCCGGCGUAUUGAUUUCGGAGCGCAGUACAUCUCGCGCUUUGCACUCAUAACGACGACGUCCAAAAGUACAUUUUUACACUCUUGACCUCGGAUCAGGUAGGGAUACCCGCUGAACUUAA
rnacentral:rRNA from 1 species